AUGAAUGGUCGAUCCCUAAUAUUUUCCAUUUUAUUCGUUUUUUCUGAGCUAAAAUGUGACGAUACUGAUGAAAAUGACCAACAUGGUACAAUUUACCAAUUUCAAGCAAAGAAUAUCGAUGGGAAAAUGGUUUCUAUGGAGAAGUAUAGAGACAAAGUGGUUUUGUUCACAAAUGUUGCAUCAUACUGUGGAUAUACAGAUUCUAAUUACAACGCUUUUAAAGAAUUAGAUGGAAUCUACAGGGAAAAAGGAUUUCGAGUUGCCGCGUUUCCAUGCAAUCAAUUUGAAAAACAAGAACCAGAAACUGAAGGAAAAAUCUUAGAUUUUGUGAAAAGCAGUUAUACAUAUGCGCCAGAUAUGUAUUCAAAGGUUAGAUAAAAUUUUAUUCUGAACAGUUCAAAAUUCUAUGAAAAUAUAAAUUUCGAAGCUUCAAAACGUCAAAUCUGCAGAUCGAGGUAAAUGGUCAGAACACUCAUCCACUUUGGAAAUUCUUGAAAAAAGAGCGUGGCUCAUCAUUAUCAGCUGAUAUUCCUUGGAACUUUUCCAAAUUUCUUGUUGAUAAGAAUGGUCAUGUGGUUGGAAGGUUAAUUUGAUUUUUGAAUUGUUUGUAUCAAUUUUACAAUUUCUGAUGUUCAGAUACUCACAUUCUGUCAACCCAAUUGAUUUGGAAGAAGAGAUCAGCCGGUUAUUGAAUUCAUGA